CGAAAUGGCAAACCAUUGGAAAUGAUGGGACGCAAAACUAGAGGGGCUACGUCUGUAUGGAUAUGCCAGCCAGGUUACCGAA
rnacentral:ncRNA from 1 species